rnacentral:rRNA from 1 species
CGAUUGCGGCAAGCCUAACACAUGCAAGUCGAGCGGCAGCGGAAGGAAGCUUGCUUCCUUGCCGGCGAGCGGCGGACGGGUGAGUAAGGUAUGGGGAUCUGGCCAAAGGCGGGGGAUAACCACUGGAAACGGUGGCUAAUACCGCAUAAUCUCUAAGGAGCAAAGUGGGGGACCAUUAUGGCCUCACACCUUCGGAUGAACCCAUAUGAGAUUAGCUAGUAGGUGGGGUAAAGGCUCACCUAGGCGACGAUCUCUAGCUGGUCUGAGAGGAUGAUCAGCCACACUGGGACUGAGACACGGCCCAGACUCCUACGGGAGGCAGCAGUGGGGAAUAUUGCACAAUGGGCGCAAGCCUGAUGCAGCCAUGCCGCGUGUAUGAAGAAGGCCUUCGGGUUGUAAAGUACUUUCAGUCGUGAGGAAGGUGUUAAGGUUAAUAGCCUUAGCAAUUGACGUUAGCGACAGAAGAAACACCGGCUAACUCCGUGCCAGCAGCCGCGGUAAUACGGAGGGUGCGAGCGUUAAUCGAAAUUACUGGGCGUAAAGGGCACGCAGGCGGUUAAUUAAGUUGGAUGUGAAAUCCCCGGGCUUAACCUGGGAAUGGCAUUCAAGACUGGUUAGCUAGAGUCUUGUAGAGGGGGGUAGAAUUCCAUGUGUAGCGGUGAAAUGCGUAGAGAUGUGGAGGAAUACCGGUGGCGAAGGCGGCUCCCUGGACAAAGACUGACGCUCAUGUGCGAAAGCGUGGGGAGCAAACAGGAUUAGAUACCCUGGUAGUCCACGCUGUAAACGAUGUCGAUUUGGAGGUUGUGGUCUAGAACUGUGGCCUCCGGGAGCUAACGCGUUAAAUCGACCGCCUGGGGAGUACGGGCCGCAAGGUUAAAACUCAAAUGAAUUGACGGGGGCCCGCACAAGCGGUGGAGCAUGUGGUUUAAUUCGAUGCAACGCGAAGAACCUUACCUACUCUUGACAUCCAGCGAAGCCUUUAGAGAUAGAGGUGUGCCUUCGGGAGCGCUGAGACAGGUGCUGCAUGGCUGUCGUCAGCUCGUGUUGUGAAAUGUUGGGUUAAGUCCCGCAACGAGCGCAACCCUUAUCCUUUGUUGCCAGCGAUUCGGUCGGGAACUCAAAGGAGACUGCCGGUGAUAAACCGGAGGAAGGUGGGGAUGACGUCAAGUCAUCAUGGCCCUUACGAGUAGGGCUACACACGUGCUACAAUGGCGUAUACAGAGAGAGGCGAGCCUGCGAGGGGAAGCGGAACUCAGAAAGUACGUCAAAGUCCGGAUUGGAGUCUGCAACUCGACUCCAUGAAGUCGGAAUCGCUAGUAAUCGCGGAUCAGCAUGUCGCGGUGAAUACGUUCCCGGGCCUUGUACACACCGCCCGUCACACCAUGGGAGUGGGUUGCAAAAGAAGUAGGUAGCUUAACCUUUUGGAUGGCGCUUACCACUUUGUGAUUCAUGACUGGGGUGAAGUCGUAACAAGGUAACCGUAGGGGAACCUGCGGUUGGAUCACCUCCUUACCUAGAUAGAUGGAAUGUGAGUGUUCACACAGAUUGUCUGAUGAAAUAGCGCGUAAAGCCAAUCUAAGAUUGACUGAAGAGCUUGAAGUCCCCUUCGUCUAGAGGCCUAGGACAUCGCCCUUUCACGGCGGUAACAGGGGUUCGAAUCCCCUAGGGGACGCCACUUUAGUGAUUUAGAAAGGCUGUGCAUCAAAUCACUAGU